ACUCAAAUGAAUUGACGGGGGCCCGCACAAGCGGCGGAGCAUGUUGAUUAAUUCGAUGCAACGCGAAGAACCUUACCUGGGCUUGACAUGCGCUGGAAACCCGUGGAGACACGGGCCCCCUUGUGGCCGGCGCACAGGUGGUGCAUGGCUGUCGUCAGCUCGUGUCGUGAGAUGUUGGGUUAAGUCCCGCAACGAGCGCAACCCUCGUCCCGUGUUGCCAGCACGUCGUGGUGGGGACUCAUGGGAGACUGCCGGGGUCAACUCGGAGGAAGGUGGGGACGACGUCAAGUCAUCAUGCCCCUUAUGUCCAGGGCUUCAAACAUGCUACAAUGGCCGGUACAAAGGGCUGCGAAGCCGUGAGGUGGAGCGAAUCCCAGAAAGCCGGUCUCAGUUCGGAUCGCAGUCUGCAACUCGACUGCGUGAAGUCGGAGUCGCUAGUAAUCGCAGAUCAGCAACGCUGCGGUGAAUACGUUCCCGGGCCUUGCACACACCGCCCGU
rnacentral:rRNA from 1 species